rnacentral:misc_RNA from 1 species
GAUGAAGAACGUAGCGAAAUGCGAUACUUGGUGUGAAUUGCAGAAUCCCGUGAACCAUCGAGUCUUUGAACGCAAGUUGCGCCCGAAGCCGUUAGGCCGAGGGCACGUCUGCCUGGGCGUCACGCACCGUCGCCCCCUCCCCAAACCAGUCUUUUUGACGGGAUUGGGUGGGGCGGAUAUUGGCCUCCCGUGCGAAUGCGUGCGGCUGGCCCAAAAUCGAGUCCCCGGCUUUGUUUGCCGCGACAUUCGGUGGUUGUCGAUCUUUCGGUGCCCUGUCGCGCGCAAAGUAGCUUAGCCGAGGGAUUGUGAGCAAAGACCCUAACGCGCGCUUUGAUGGACCCAUUGAGGCGCCCUCGACGCGACCCCAGGUCAGGCGGGGCUACCCGCUGAGUUUAAGCAUAUCAAUAAGCGGAGGA